AGUUUUUUUUAAUGAACGGCACAUGUCAGGCUACACCAAUAUAUGCCGGUCACAAAAAAUACAUGUAUGCCGACACAUAAUGGUAUAAAGUAUUUAAUUUCUUCAGCAACAAAAUAUUUCUAACUGUUUUUUUAUUUUUUUAUCAAAUAUUUUGAACUUUAUUGAAAAAAUUACUUAUGGAUUUAAAGAACAGAGAGUUUUGAGCUGUGUUAUGGUACGAGAUUGUAUCGUGUCGAUAUUUUGUUGGUACGAUACGGCAUAGUGGAUACGGCUCGUUCCGAUAGACAUUUAAAUCCUUGCUG
rnacentral:lncRNA from 1 species